UACAGAGGUCUCAAGCGUUGUUCGGAUUCAUUGGGCGUAAAGGGUGCGUAGGUGGUGCUGUAAGUCGGGUGUGAAAUUUCGGAGCUUAACUCCGAAACUGCAUUCGAUACUGCGGUGCUUGAGGACUGGAGAGGAGACUGGAAUUCAUGGUGUAGCAGUGAAAUGCGUAGAGAUCAUGAGGAAGACCAGUGGCGAAGGCGGAUCUCUGGACAGUUCCUGACGCUGAGGCACGAAGGCCAGGGGAGCAAACGGG
rnacentral:rRNA from 1 species